AACGAACGCUGGCGGCAUGCCUAACAUAUGCAAGUCGAACGAGACCUUCGGGUCUAGUGGCGCACGGGUGCGUAACGCGUGGGAACCUGCCCUUAGGUUCGGAAUAACUCCCCGAAAGGGGUGCUAAUACCGGAUAAUGUCUUCGGACCAAAGAUUUAUCGCCUUUGGAUGGGCCCGCGUUGGAUUAGCUAGUUGGUAGGGUAAAAGCCUACCAAGGCGACGAUCCAUAGCUGGUCUGAGAGGAUGAUCAGCCACACUGGGACUGAGACACGGCCCAGACUCCUACGGGAGGCAGCAGUGGGGAGUAUUGGACAAGGGGCGGAGGCCUGAUGCAGCGGGGCCGCGUGAGUGAUGGAGGCCUUAGGGUUGUAAAGCUCUUUUACCCGGGAUGAUAAUGACAGUACCGGGAGAAUAAGCUCCGGCUAACUCCGUG
rnacentral:rRNA from 1 species